rnacentral:tRNA from 1 species
UGGGGGGUGGUGUAAUGGCAGCACGAUGGGUUUUGGUCCCAUUGGUACGGGUUCGAAUCCUGUCCCCCCAGCCA